rnacentral:rRNA from 1 species
GACGUAGGGCGCGAGCGUUGUCCGGAUUUAUUGGGCGUAAAGAGCUCGUAGGCGGCUUGUUGCGUCGACUGUGAAAACCCGCGGCUUAACUGCGGGCUUGCAGUUGAUACGGGCAGGUUAGAGUUCGGUAGGGGAGACUGGAAUUCCUGGUGUAGCGGUGAAAUGCGCAGAUAUCAGGAGGAACACCGGUGGUGAAGGCGGGUCUCUGGGACGGUACUGACGCUGAGACGCGAAAGCGUGGGGAGCGAACAGG